rnacentral:misc_RNA from 1 species
AACCUUAUAUCACGGGGGCCGGCCUUGAAUUGCUUGCGGUUCCAAUGCGACGGCUUUUGCCGAUCCAUUGUGAUACUCAGCUUUUCUCCCCGCCCUGCCGGAAUAUUACCCAUGAUUUUUGCGUACCCAUUGUUUCCUCGGUAGGCUUGCCUACCAGUAGGACCCUUUUUAAACCUUUUUGCAAUUGCAGUCAGCGUCAGAAAAAACUUAAUAGUUA